UACGGAGGGUGCGAGCGUUGUCCGGAAUCAUUGGGCGUAAAGGGCGCGUAGGUGGCCUGCUAAGCGUGCGGUGAAAGUCGGGGGCUCAACCCCCGAUCGGCCGUGCGAACUGGGAGGCUUGAGCACUGUAGAGGCAGGCGGAAUUCCGGGUGUAGCGGUGGAAUGCGUAGAGAUCCGGAAGAACACCGGUGGCGAAGGCGGCCUGCUGGGCAGUUUUGCUGACACUGGAGGCGCGACGAGCGUGGGGAGCAAACAGG
rnacentral:rRNA from 1 species